AAGCAUAAGUAGGUUCUUAUUCGGCUAUGUUUUCAAUUCAAGCCGCAUUAAGCCUACUUAGACUGGCGACAUAACAAUACACCAACGUGAAAAUCCUGAAAAUCCUGUUAUCGUGAUUCACGCUUUUUUAAUUUUGUUGUGAUCAUAAGUAGGUUUUAUUCGACUUUGUUCUAUAUUCAAGUCGCGUGAAUCCUACUUUUGAUGACUGCGAGAUUACCAGCAUUUCUUCUGAAACCUUCAAACAAUUUCGAUACUAAUUAUUUCAAACUUGCGCGGCUAUCAAUGUCUGUGUACCGGUGUGAUGGCGCUUGCAAAACCGCCGAAAUAUCCGAUUCUAAGUGAUAAUUGUGGCUCUAGAUCGGCCUAGUAUUGGUGGCGGGGCAGAGCCGAGCGUGACGCCAUGCCUGACGCCGUCGACUGCAAGAGGUCGGCUGCAGACGACACGUCACCAGCUGCUCUGAGAGGCAAACGAACUCUAGAUCCAACGGAGUCCAUGGACAUCAUAACGUGAACGACAGCCACCCACCUUGAAUUAGAAGGUUACCAUCUCAGAGGACCAACCGUUAGACAUCGCAAUGUUUCCUUGCGAGCUCACCUCGCGGCCGACAAUGUGUGGCUAGUUACUUCGUGACUAAAAGCAAAAAUUUGUAAUCGAAAAUACUAUUAUAAAAAAAUACAUGAAUACUGAUAGUCUUCGAUUUUCUUUGUAAAUCUAUUUAGGAUCACCCCUCGGAGUUCCGACAACUGCAGUACGAACACUACACUCAGAUAGAAUUGUGAAUAAGGACCCCUACAGAGAGAUGUAACACGCGCUAUAUCACCUAUCGUUCAUUUAUAUUUAGCAUGCGCUGAGGUCGUAUCAAUGAAGAGCAUGCAAUCCGCAAUCGGUCGCAUCCUCUCCGGCGUCCUAUUGUGAGCAGCUUGAUUCUUCAAUUGGGUACAAAUGGGUUCCCAUUGUGCGGCGGGGGCGCGGGUCCCGAGACGCAGUCGCACAAUCCGCAGCGGCAAUGAGGAAGUGAUGAGUUAGCGCGCGGCGCGGCGGGGGGGCGGGGGGCCUGCUCCCGGCCACAGUACACUGCUCGCUCAAUCCGCCUUUUGUCACCGAUAUCCUUUGCUUUCGCACAAAUGGAUGAUUGCACAAAUUGACUUGAUCUGAGUAAUUUUUUCUUGGACUCCAACAGCCACGACACACGGGAACCAUUUUUUCAAGAUUGUUAGCACAUGGAGGAAACGUUCAACGGGCUUUAGAGCCCUAGGAACCUCAUGGAUUUCUGCUGCUCGUUUUGUGCGUUACCUACGUCAUCAGUUCAAAUGGAAUCAAUAUUUGGUCAGCCCAGUCCCUCGGCCAUCGAUGACCGAUUCGAAUGCCAUAAACUGGCAAUUACAAUGAGAUGACGCGGCGUGUGUUGGUGCCCAGUCCACAAAUACAGCCAAAGACUAGAGCACUCCCCAUGGAACAUGCGGUACAAAAUACAGAGGGAAUCGAAUUUUACUGGGCGACCCGAGCUACGCGCCUGCAAAACAUAAACGACAUGCUUAAGUUGGGUACGUAAGGGGCUGCCUGCCCUUCUGUACAAAGAUGUAAGCAUCAGGAACCCUCAGGGCGCGGUGUCCUAUUUGAAAUUAUAAUUCAAUUAUACGAUUAGGCAAGAAUAACGUUUAUAAAAUCUCGUUCGUCGUGAUGUUGGUCCUGUCGACGUGUUGUCAGUUCUGUGGGCCUCCCGCAGACCUCAUCUCCAUCCCUGAGCACUGUGCUGCCUAUUGCUAUGCUGCCUAAAGUUGGUGUUCACAUUGUAGCUCAGUCUCUAUGGGCUCUACAAACUAUAAACUACAUUUUUUUUUCGAGCCGGUCCCGAAACUCCUUCGCAGUCCCCUAGGCGCUUAGGGGGCGCGCGGGGUAUAUGGGACUUGACGAACUGCAGAUUUUGGAAGCAGAUACCGGGUCCAAAGAUGUUUUAGGGCCCUACCACACUAAACGACAUCCCCUGCACUCUUACACCCGACGUCCGAUCUCCGUCCGGGGUCAGACCCGUUCAGAGUAGGGGGGUUCCCGCGGUCAACACUACAACCAGACACGCGGCGCCACCCCGAGGACGCCCGACCGACGGGUUGUCUAGGCGAUAGUUGACGGCCAACGACGUCGGUUUCCGCGGUACGGCGCACCCACCAGGCCGCCCGGAUGAUGCCGCUGGUGUUCCGGGAUACCCCACAGAGCCAGAACCAGCAUGCCAGGUCGGAACGCGAUAAAUCGCCGACCAGGUUGCUCUUCCACAGUAUGUUCGGCGACGACAGCGACGACGAGAAUGCGGACCGCAUCGCAGGCCGCAGCCGCCGACCGACGCGCCGUCCCGUCCUCCCGGUGUCAGCGCGCUAGAGUGACGGUAGUGUGCCGCGCAGCCUCAACCCUCCCAGGUCGCUCCGUGACUAUCACCGAAAGGAGACUGUCUCCUCACAAGGGCCGGAGCUGGACGAACGCCCUCCUUCGAACCACGGCUCGGCGCCGAGAGGGACGUAGAGCUCUCCCUCUCCCGUUCCGGCGCCUCUUUCUGCGGGAUGGUGGACUCGCAAAAUUCAAGCAUCGCCUGCCAGGAGCAAACUACAUAUUAUGUUAACUUCAUCUGCCUAUCCUUAUUAAAUAAAAAUGUUAAUUUUUUGUGU